rnacentral:rRNA from 1 species
AACGAACGCUGGCGGCAGGCUUAACACAUGCAAGUCGAACGCUCCGCAAGGAGAGUGGCAGACGGGUGAGUAACGCGUGGGAAUCUACCUGAUACUACGGAACAACAGAGGGAAACUUCUGCUAAUACCGUAUACGCCCUACGGGGGAAAGAUUUAUCGGUAUCAGAUGAGCCCGCGUAAGAUUAGCUAGUUGGUGGGGU